GACGAACGCUGGCGGCGUGCUUAACACAUGCAAGUCGAGCGCUGAAGCUCAGCUUUUGUUGGGUGGAUGAGUGGCGAACGGGUGAGUAACACGUGAGUAACCUGCCUCCUUCUUUGGGAUAACGCCCGGAAACGGGUGCUAAUACUGGAUAUUCACUGGUCUUCGCAUGGGGGUUGGUGGAAAGGGUUUUUCUGGUGGGGGAUGGGCUCGCGGCCUAUCAGCUUGUUGGUGGGGUGAUGGCCUACCAAGGCUUUGACGGGUAGCCGGCCUGAGAGGGUGACCGGUCACAUUGGGACUGAGAUACGGCCCAGACUCCUACGGGAGGCAGCAGUGGGGAAUAUUGCACAAUGGGCGCAAGCCUGAUGCAGCGACGCCGCGUGAGGGAUGGAGGCCUUCGGGUUGUGAACCUCUUUCGCUCAUGGUCAAGCCGCAACAAUGGUUGUGGUGAGGGUAGUGGGUAAAGAAGCGCCGGCUAACUACG
rnacentral:rRNA from 1 species